ensembl:lncRNA
AAUACAUAAUUAGUCAAAUAAAAGUGAAUUAUCAAUUCAGUUAUUUUAUGUAUAAAUUUUUUAAAGGAAAGUCUAGAAAUAAAGAAGGUAUUUACAAACUAAAAAAAAGAUAUCAGUUUUCUUCUUUUCCAUUUUGUUAUUUUAUUAAAUGCUCCAAAUGUUCUACUUUAUAAAGAAAUCAUGUAAAAUAAGAAUAAACUGAAUAUAUACUUACUGUAGGAAUGUAAAAGGGGCCAAGCAAACUCGGUGACUACAUAGCAAACCAAAUUAACAAUGUUGUAUUUGUUGAUCUAACAUAACGUUAACCACUUGUAAGUCUUAAUUUCACAUUUUUUUUCAAACAUUAGUAAACAUAGAAAAGAUUCAUGUCAGACACAAAUCAAAUUCAGACAAACCAUCAGGUCUCAACGCCACAGUUAUUGAACCCAUCUGUAUGUGGCAUGUGUGUGAAUGUAUUUUGUGUGACGUGUGCUAAAUUCUGAGAGUGUACAGUAGACGGCACACUCACUCCACAUUAGCUGCUGAGAACUCAAAUGACAAAACCCGCUCAUGACACAACAGCAAAGCAAACUCUUUGACCGAGCAGUGACCAGCCCAAAUGCAUCAUUGUUUAUUUAGUUCAUUCUUUAACACAAACAAACACACAUACCCCUCCUGUGGCUUUAGCUUUUAUUUGAUCCAGCUAACCAACAUUUCCCCAUGAUGUUCUAUGAAGCCGGUCGAACACUGAUACACACGUAUAAAAAAAUGUGUGUAUGAUUGUAUUAAUGUGUGUAUGUGUGUUUGUAUGUAAUGGAAGAGAGGGGGCUGGCUUCACAAUAGUGCUUUGAAUCAAUUUGUGCCAUCGGCUGGAUCAUUACUGAAAUAACAGUCUUGUUGAUGGAGAUGUAUUUAGUUUAGUCAGUGAUGCACGACAUGCAUUAUUGAACUAAUCAAAACCAAAUGAUAUUCAUAUCAUAAGCACAGGGGCUACUGGAGACAAUAAGGCCUGUAAUUCUUCAUGGGCUAAUUGUUUAAGUCAUUUAUCAAGGAAGUCAAAUUGUAUUUAGUUAUUUUUUGAUAUAAAUGAAUUGUUUUGGUUACUUUUUUAAUGGAUUUGCUAAAUGAAUACAUGUAAAUUUUUAAAAGCAAGGUCUCUGUUUAUAUCAAAAUAUUUUGACAAUUUAUAAAUGAAUGAAUAAAGGAACGCAUUUAACAUUUAUUAAUUUAGCAGACGCUUUUAUCCAAAUGAGA